AGGAAGAUGAGGAUUACCCAAUAGAGAUUGACAUUGACGACCUUUUGCGGCGUAGCGACUCUGAGAGACAGAAAGAAGUAGAGUCACUCCUUAAAGAUGCUUCACAACCUUCAGAGGAAUUCAUCUCAAUAUUACUCACAAGAAUCCUUGAGCUACAGAAGAAAUCCAAUACCCUGAGCUCACCUGGUCAAGCCCAAAGUAUAGAUUUCCAAUUAUGAGAGGGGACACUUGGUGAACAUAUUAAUCACACGGACACUCAAAGUCAUCCUCACUUUUGUAAAUAUGUACAAACCGAAAGGACAACGAAGAUAUGAAGGAAUGGAGAUUUAUAUAUUCACUUCCUUGAACCGGUCUUUCUGGCUUCUUUCAUGAACGAAACCUCAUCAGGAUUUUUAUUCACUUCCUCAUUCUCCACGAUCAUCCCAGCGUGAGAACUUUUAGCAGGCAAAAAAUCAGGAUAUUGGUUUCUAUUUGAUUACAUCUAUCCUUUUUUAUGUAUGAAUAGCAUGUAUUGAUUGUCAAUUGAAUUUUGAAUCUUGUACUUCUGAUUAAUGUUGAUUUUAGCCUUAUUUAAAGUAUAUUGAUGGCAAAAACAUAUUCUCGCAUCUGGUAUUAAAAAGAUAUAUAUAUAUGAAUCUCACUGACUUGAUUUAAAUGUAGGGCAUACCCAAACUCAAUGGGUGAUUUAAGUUCGGUGUGCGGUGUUUGUGUUGGUUUUAAGAGCGUGAAAAGGCUGCUGAACCAAGCUCCAACACCGAGCUGGGUUCAGAGUAACAAUACCGAUCGCAUUGUCGAUAAUUAUGACAUCACGCCUCUGCGCUGCUGAUCAUCUCAACUUUACGCGAGAACUUCUCAAAGACAAAAGUGAAAUCGGAGAGAAAUUACACUAAAAUCUCAUUGACAGAAUGCCAAGGCUAAAAUAACUUCAAGACUCAGAAGGAGUAAAUAUUAUUUUCCAUUAAAAUUGAUUAGGCUCUAAUGAUUUGCACUCAUCUUUUCUGUAAAUAUCUAAUUUUACGGGGAUGUUUCAUCCUGUUUGCCACCUGUUCAUGGGCUUCAAAUCAUUAACACCAACACCGAACUUGAAAUCACGAUUUUCCCAAUCCCUGGCUGUUGUUGGUGUUGUCACAACACCAACACCAGAUUUCAACACCGUACUUGAAAUCACCCAAUCUUUAUGUUAGCAUGUACUCUUGCUUACUUUUAUGUUCAAAUUGCAGAUCUGGGGCCCAUUUCAUAUAACUUGUAUAAGCUACUGAAAAAUUUCACCUGAUUGGCUGAUCAUACAUUUGUUAUAGAAAUAGUCUUUAUGAAAUGGGACCCAAAGGACAUUCAACUGUUGUAACUUUGCCAUAAUAGUAACUAAUAACUCAAACAAAGAUUCUUGCCAUCUGAUUCAUGGUUGAAAGGUUGUCAAUAUUUUGUCCAUUCAUUACUGCAUGCAUUUUUAAAUUUUCCAUUGCACGGUGACCGUGCAUUUUUUAGGUUUAGCGCUCCCUCAGUAUGCACCACUAAUCAUGUGUAUGUCUACUUCCCUUUUUACGUUUGUUUGUGUAUGUGUUUGUGCGCAUGAAGUUAGCGCAGAUCAAACUAGACUUACUGUGCGCACUCGACUCAGAUCCAUGAAUCAAUGCGCGUCACAAAAGAACCGAGGGCUGAUGAGCUGUCGAUACAUGGGGGAAUCCGCCGUAGGCCGACUAGUAAUUCAGAGAAAAAGAGUUGCUGGAAAUAGGCCUACCUAAUCUUAAUUUCAUCUAUUUUGUUUACUUUUUUAUAUUAAAAAAAAUGAUUUUAUCUAAUUUGAGUUAUGUAAAAAAAAUAAUGAAUGUAUAUAUUGGUGCAAUGGAAAGAAUAUUUACAUUCAAUGAAAGAUCAAAAUGUUCCAUUCAACUUGGCUAACACCUCGUUGGAUGGAACUUUUCAUCUUCGAUCUCAUGAAAAUAUUCUCCCCCAUUGCACGCAUACACAUUCAUUAGUUGUAUACCACAUGGUAACAGGGUUCAACAGCCAAUCACAAUCAAGGAUUCCAUGGUAGUCACAAUAAUGGCAAAGUUACAAUAGUUACAUGUCUUCAUGAAACAAGCACCAGGACCUUGUAACACAAAAUAUUUUCAAUCAAUCACAAAAAUGCAGAUCAUUAUAGCAUGCACUGUUUUAUUCAAAAGACUCACUAGUAUCCAAUCAUAUUUUUAUCAGAUUGAUCACAACCUUCGUGUUAACUGUCAUUCAUAACAUGUUCAAGAAUCAAGUGCAAGUCCGUAAUACAUGCAUUUCAUUGGUUGAAAAUCAAGUUGCACUUGAUUUUUGCAGUUGCCUUUGAUCUCAACUCUUUUUUGCAACAAGCCCAACAUCUUUAUCGUCUGUGGCAGCACGAAAAUCUAUUUUUAAAUCCAAAGACGAGUGAAAUGAAAAUGAUUUUGAGUUUUCAUUGACCUUUAUCGAUAUCCGAUACUUAUGCUCUACAUGUACUACCAUUCUUAUUGAUGCAUGUCCUACAUUAUGUAUAUAUUUGUAUACAUGUACAAUAUUUCAAUCUACUAUUUGACACUAUGCUCUGUUUAUGAUAUACUGUAGAUCUAAUUUAUUCAGAGUAAGAAACUUUUUUCCAUGAAUAAUUUAUCUUACGACUUAACAAGUGUUUGUAACUAUCUAGAUUUUUCUGAGUAAUGUUUUGUCACACAAAUGUUGCUAGGUCAAAUGUAUUUUGAAGUAUACUUCUGGAAUAGACUGGACAUCCUAGUUUCAUUUUGAUACAAUCUUUCAAGAAUCGAAUUAUUUUUGAUAUAUCUUUUUCAAUAAUUAAUGUAAACAUGAUGCCGUGUCUCAAAUGAAGCAUCAAUUUUGUAGAAGAAUAGUGAAUAAUGGGAAUUUUAGAUCCCUACAGAGGCAAAAUUUUUGUUAUUAAUAUACUAUUAAAAUACUUUUGUUGAAUACUGAACAAAAAAUAUUUAAU